UCACUUCAAAAAGAAAACAAAUUCUGUAUUUGCACAGUGUGUGGGGGAAGCCACCCGUCAUGGCUGUGGUGUUUUCCACAUAAACACAUUACUAUGGAACAGUGAGGGAGACAGACAGCAGAAGAGCAGGCGGGGGUUGGAGGGGAGCUCCUGGGGAGAGCGAUUCUGCUCCACCAGACGCGUGGCCUCGCCAGGAAACCAGGGAGGGGUCAACGGCUCUCUCCUGGCUGCAGCAGAGCUCCGUCGGGGGCAGGAGAAGCACUGUGUAGGUACCUGCAGGACCACCAGCUAGAGAAGAGCACUGUCCGUCUGCCCGCUAAGCCAUCUGUAUACAGACACCAGCAGCUCGGGAGAAACCAUUUUUUGACAACACUGUAACGAGAACAUUCACUCGGCAGACUGCAUUCCAUAGUUCAGAAUUAAGAGAGAACAGAGACACUCUGUGCCGCGCGGACCUUCUCCGUAUGCCAAGCCGUCAGGGAGAACAUCACUGAUAAAGAUGCGGCUGAGAUGCUGCUGCUCGUCCACCUGGGCCGUCACCGCAAACCCUGCGAGCGGCAAUAAAAGAAGAAAACAAGUCGAAGUUCAGCACACUCACGGAUUUCUCCAACUCAGUCGGCAGAUGCCCCUGAACAUCUCUUCUCCUAAGCAUGCUGUGUCAAGGAGUCAAGCUGCAGGUACUGAGAAAGCACAGCUCUCCGGCGGGGGCAGGGAGACAGGCACGUGCCGACCUGAAGCUCCAAGCUGAGCGCACGACCUUAUUCAAACGCAGACGCUACGCCCGUGUUCAGAGUGGCGUUAUGUACAACGGCCAAAAGGUGGAAGCAACCUGACCCUCUUCUGACAGGUGAGUGGGUACACACAAUGCAGUCCAUACAGACAAUGGAAUUACAUACGCCCUCGUAAAAGGAGAGAGAUCCCCGUACACGUGAUCACACAGACAAGCCUUGAGGACGUCAUGCUAUGUGAAAUAAGCCAGUCACAAAAGAACACACACUGUAUGAUUCCACUUCUGUGAGAUACGGAGAGCAGUCAGAUUCAAAGACAGAAAGCAGAAGGGUGGUUCGCAAGGAAUGGGAAGGAGGAACUGGGGGAAGACUGUGUAAAAGAUAGAGUUCCAGUUUUGCAACAUGAAAACAGUUCUGAACGUAUUUAAUGUCACUGUCUGGGAAUGUACUUCAUGCCACUGAGCUGUCACUUGGAACCACUCUCAACGGUCACGAUGGCAAACUUCGUUAUGGGUGUUUCACCACCAUUUACAUUUUUUUGUAGAAGCCGAAACCCAAAAAUACUCUACUGAAAAAAUUAAAUUCAGUUCAAUACAAAAUAAUUCAUUAAGAAACAACUCUGUAUGGGGUUAGGCAUUUUAAGUUGGUGGAAAACCGUUUGGAUGGAUACCAUACCUGCCCUAAACAUGACUACUCGCAAAACCCAGGAACGUUUCUGGAUCUGUCAUGGAUCUGUCGCUUUCUGUAUAUUUUCCUGGAAGAUGAUCAUAGCCCAGAAUGAAUACCAAC